AUUGAACGCUGGCGGCAUGCCUUACACAUGCAAGUCGAACGGCAGCACGGGAGCAAUCCUGGUGGCGAGUGGCGAACGGGUGAGUAAUAUAUCGGAACGUGCCCAGUCGUGGGGAUAACGUAGCGAAAGCUACGCUAAUACCGCAUACGAUCUAUGGAUGAAAGCGGGGGAUCGCAAGACCUCGCGCGAUUGGAGCGGCCGAUAUCAGAUUAGGUAGUUGGUGAGGUAAAGGCUCGCCAAGCCGACGAUCUGUAGCUGGUCUGAGAGGACGACCAGCCACACUGGGACUGAGACACGGCCCAGACUCCUACGGAGGCAGCAGUGGGGAAUUUUGGACAAUGGGCGCAAGCCUGAUCCAGCAAUGCCGCGUGC
rnacentral:rRNA from 1 species